GAUUCUGCUCUUUCAGAAGGGAAGAGACCGCUGCGGGUGGGGUUGAGGUCUGCUCUCGAGCGAGAGAGGAUUGGCUGUCCCCUCGAGGGUCCUCACAGGAGAGGAAUUGCCUCCCUUAGGAGGUUUACCUGGUAAGGAGCCUGAGACCUAAGAGGCUCUGGAACCCAGUUCAUCUCCCCUCUGAUAAUCGAUUUUUUCGAUCAGGCUCGUAUUAUCGAAGCUUCAUAAGAUUGAUACAAAAAUCAGAAUGUCUGUUUAUUAAUUUAAACUGGGAAAAAAAUAACUGCCUUGGGAAGCAGAUUUUCAGGUCCCGACUAGCACAUUGCCUUCCCCAUAGGUUUUGCCACAUGGGAAACCACGUUAUAAUUAGAAGGUUGCUUGGUGAGUAUGAAGGCAGAAGAAGUGGAGAAUAUAUUUGGAAUGUGUUUUGGAGUCGGGUCUUUUUUAACCCCUCAAAGACCAAUAACCCCAUCUGGCCUUUGGGGUACUAAUAGUACCUUGUUCACAGGGUGUUGGAAGGAUCCUGUGUGGCUGUGGCGUAGGCCAGCGGCUACAGCUCCGAUUAGACCUCUGGCCUGAGAACCUCCAUAUACCACAGGUGCGGCCCUAAAAAGACAAAAAAUAAAAGCAUAGCAUAAUAGAGAACCAUGAGUGGUUUACCUCUAUUGUUGUCAGGAAAUUCUGGAUUAAGGCGUAAUCCAGCAGUUUGUUCCUUAGUCACAUUUUUGGGCGUACUUAUUAUCUACAGUGUUGUUUCUCCAGACUAGCAGCAUUCGGUGUCACCAUCGCUUGAGAGGUUCCCAGAAGGUGUAAAUUCUUGUCCCCUACCCCAGAUCUACUGCGUUGAAUCCUGGGGUGUGAGGGGGAGAUCAGAGAUUGCCAGCCGUCUGUGUUUUAAGGAACCCUGUAGGUGAUUCAGAUGCAUGCAUGCUGAAGUUGGAGAACCACUGGUUUGUAGUUAGGACAACCUUUCCAAAAAAAUGCUGGCAUGAGCAAUGUUGAGGACAAGAUGAUUCCAACUGGCUUGACCGUAAAACAGGAAUGUCUGUAGUGAAUCAACGUAGCUGUGUUUGGGAUCAGUUACGUUAACAUGUUAUCAUGCGCUCCACUUAAUUAAGUACUUUGUUGGCAUGAGCAAGUCAUCUGCGCUGGAAAUGACAGCUAUCAAAAGAGUAAUUGUCUUAAAGCCCCGGGGAGGGGGAUGAAUCACCAGUUUACAGAACCUGUUCUGCUUUGGGCUGACAUAUUUUUUUUAUCAACUAAAGGCUAUGGGGAACAGGAGCUGUGUUUGGGGCUAAGGUAAGGAAACCGGGUGGUUUUAUUCACACUUAGACUGAGCCGGCCUGCUGUCGUGUCGUUUCAACAUUUUAAUUGAAUAGUGAAAUUCUGAAAUAGAGAAAUAGGAAAAAACGAACCUUGUAAAUGCACAAACAGGCAAAUUGUAAAUUUUUACUAUUAUCUAUAAACUGAUCUUAUGGUCUCUAACCAGAAACAGAUGGACACAGUGACGGUCGGGAUGCCAGUGCCGCUCGGUCCUUCCCCACUGAUUCCUUUGAAUAAUUACUCAAGAAGAGGGACAAGCGGUGAAAAAGGAAAACGCAGCACUGUGGUGGGAAGCAGAGUCAAGCAUCAGGGAGAUGAAGGCAGCAGAACGUUUCCAGAGGGAGGCCGUGGUGAACAGUAGGAAAGGUUGCCAGUAGGUCAGAUAAGAGGGACGCAAUGUGUCCAUUAGGUGUAGGGACAAGAGAGGUGAGUGGUCACCUUGAAGAGGAAUUUCAGUGCAGCAGAAAGCAGCAGCUGGGUGGACGUGGGGUGGUCCCUGAGCUGGAGAUAAAACGGAAGUGGCGCGUUGAAGAGGAGGAUAGCUAGAUGCGGACGGAGGGUCUUCUUGCCCGACAGCCUUCUCUGGGUAAGACUUGUUGUUUAGAUCUGGUUACUAACCUGAUCACUAUAUUGAUUUGGCAUAAUUUUCACUUAGCAUGAGUCAUCCUAACGUUAUUUCUCAGAUGAAUGUAUCAUUUCUUGCUGCCUUUAUGAAGUAUUGAAACUUGGCGUUACUACUUUUCAUAGCCUCGAGGAUCAAGGACCCGGUUAAAAACCACCACCAUGUCGCUGUCCCCAUAGAACUCAUUUGGAAUUAUCAUUUAAAUUCCAUUGUCUUAAAGCACUGAAAGGCAGGUUUGUAUAUUUGCAUGCCAAGGUGGUUAAAAAACUCCUUGAAUGUCUCUCAAGCUCAACACCUGGCAUAUUAUUUUAAACAUAGGGUUAGGAGGUUCGGUUCUGCUUUGCUGUUUGAAUUGGCAUUGGUUACUAAUAGAAAACCUGUUUUCACAUUGAUUUUUAGGGAAGAUUCAAACAGGAGUGUUUUCAUUGAAUAAACAUUGAGCACCUACCGUAUUCCUGGCAGUGCUAGGGGUUAAAAAUAAAAAUGGCACAAAUCCUGCCUUGAGUUCACCGUUCAUUGGGGAACACAGAAGUAAACAAACCGCGGCGAUGUUAAAAGCUGCACCGGAAGAACACAUUAGGAGGUCCUGCUGUGGCUCAGUGGGUGCAAAACCCGACUGGUAUCCGUGAGGAGGCGGGUUCUAUUCCUGGCCUCGCUCGGUGGGUUAAGGAUUUGGUGUUGCUGCAAGCUGCGGUGUGGGUCACCGAUGUGGCUUGGAUUUGGCGUGGCUGUGGCUGUGGUGUAGGCUGGCAGCAGCGGCAGCUCGGAUUUGGCCCCUAGCCUGGGAACUUCCAUAUGCCACAGG
rnacentral:lncRNA from 1 species